AGCGAACGCUGGCGGCAGGCCUAACACAUGCAAGUCGAACGAACCUUUCGGGGUUAGUGGCGGACGGGUGAGUAACACGUGGGAACGUGCCUUUAGGUUCGGAAUAACUCAGGGAAACUUGUGCUAAUACCGAAUGUGCUCUUCGGGGGAAAGAUUUAUCGCCUUUAGAGCGGCCCGCGUCUGAUUAGCUAGUUGGUUGAGGUAAUGGCUCACCAAGGCGAGGAUCAGUAGCUGGCCUGAGAGGAUGAUCAGCCACAUUGGGACUGAGACACGGCCCAGACUCCUACGGGAGGCAGCAGUGGGGAAUCUUGCGCAAUGGGCGAAAGCCUGACGCAGCCAUGCCGCGUGAAUGAUGAAGGUCUUAGGAUUGUAAAGUUCUUUCACCCGGGACGAUAAUGACGGUACCCGGAGAAGAAGCCCCGGCUAACUUCGUG
rnacentral:rRNA from 1 species